UACGUAGGGUCCGAGCGUUGUCCGGAAUUAUUGGGCGUAAAGGGCUCGUAGGCGGUUUGUUGCGUCGGGAGUGAAAACCAGGUGCUUAACACCUGGCCUGCUUUCGAUACGGGCAGACUAGAGGCAUUCAGGGGAGAACGGAAUUCCUGGUGUAGCGGUGAAAUGCGCAGAUAUCAGGAAGAACACCAAUGGCGAAAGCAGCUCUCUGGGACGGUACUGACACUGAGGCGCGAAAGCGUGGGGAGCGAACAGG
rnacentral:rRNA from 1 species